UGAGUAACGCGUGAGGAACCUGCCUUCCAGAGGGGGACAACAGUUGGAAACGACUGCUAAUACCGCAUGAUGCGUUGGAGCCGCAUGACUCCGACGUCAAAGAUUUAUCGCUGGAAGAUGGCCUCGCGUCUGAUUAGCUAGUUGGUGGGGUAACGGCCCACCAAGGCGACGAUCAGUAGCCGGACUGAGAGGUUGGCCGGCCACAUUGGGACUGAGAUACGGCCCAGACUCCUACGGGAGGCAGCAG
rnacentral:rRNA from 1 species